GAGGUUGUGGCUCAGUGUUAGAGUGCUUGCCUAGAACGUGCAAGGACCUGGAUUCGAUCCUCAGCACCACA
rnacentral:tRNA from 1 species